ACGUGUGAGGGCUUUCAUUUAUUUUGAUAAUCCUCCUCCUGCUCCACAGCGUUUUGCUGUCUUUGUCAAAGUGAAUGACAACAAUUUGGCCAACUCUCUCUGAGCUGCACUCAACAGUGACAGGCAAAUUAUCAGAGGCCCUGCACUCCUUAUUAUCAGAGGAGAAGUCAUCAGGAGGACGUGCGGAGGAUCCCUCUCCCCUGUCACUAUUUGUCAGUGGGACAAGGGCCACUGCUAUGGGUAGCUGACAGGUAAUUUCAACAAUAACAAUUACUCCUAUUACUGGUGUCAUAAACAAUUCGCCCAAGGCAUGACAAUAGCAAAGCUUUAUAAUUCAAUGCCAUAUAAAUAAAUGCCAGCAGGUAACAAGUAAUUUAGCUCCAAUCAGGCCUUGGCCCUGGCAUUAAUAUUGUUAUUGCAAGAAAAUGGAAAAUUGAAAAAAUUCAAUAUGUUAAUGAAUUAAGAGGGGUUCAAAGGCUAAGGGAGGGGAGACAUGAUCCAGAAUGGGGGGAAGGAAGAAAACAAAAACAAAAGACACAAAAUCAUUCUUUCAAAGCCAGCACCAAUAUGUGUUCAUACAACCUUAUAACUAGGUUUUGAUAUAGAACAUGGUCUUGCUAUGCUGCUUUUCAGGUUAGGGCAAAAGGCAUGCAUGAACCUGAACCCCACCCCUUGCCUCCAUCUGCCACACUGUGAAAAACGUGCAUCAAAAAAUAAACCGAAUUUAAUGGUUUUAUUAAAAACAGAAUAAUAUUUGAAAUCUCAGGCAAGACAUAGAUUUAACAAAGAUUAAAGGUUUAUUUACAACUCCAUUGCUUUAUUGUUCACUUCUUGCAUGCUUUAAUCUUUUUUAAACAAGCUCUGUUCAAUCAUUGAUUCUCAAUUUAUCAAGAAGAAGGAUUUUACUGCACUUUUUCUCUCCCCAAAUGUCUUUCAUAGGCCACAACACCCUAACUCUCUUACAAGAAUGAUGAUCAGCAGCAAACAAGCUAAAGACCAAUAUCUUCAAGUCCAACUUCUUGAUCAACUCAAUUUGCAAUUUUACUAUUUGUCCAGCAAGACAAUGUGGCAUCAGGCUGACAGCAGUAAAAGAAUUUGAAAAUCUCUAAUUAGAAGAGCUGUGGAGCAAUUAACGCAUGUCAAAUUUCACUUCAUCAAGUGCCACUCUAAUUUUCCCACUAAAAAUUAAUGGACUUUUUUUUGGUGUGUGUGUGUGUGUGCGCCUGUGUCUCUGUGUGCGUGUGUGUGUGUCCCCUCAAGGCAAUGUUGAUUCAAAUCUGCUCAAGAUGCAGCGUUGCACAGCUAAGCAUCUUCUUGAUUACAACCCGACACACUUCUAACUGCUUUCAUUCUCACUGCCACAGAUACUUUGUCAACAGUCAAAUUACGCCAUGCUGAUAACAAUGCAUAAUGGUCUUCCUCAAAGGAGGCUCCUGUCAUGGAGCAGCCUUUCAUAAAAACCCACCAGUUUCUUCUCUGGGAAAUAGAUCUGAAUGAAAGGAAUUAAGCUUUUGUGGUUCCAGCCAUGGUUGCAAUGCAAUUUUUUAAAUUUCAUUUCUUGUUUCUUCUUCUUCCUCUCAUGCUAUAGUUUAUUUAUUUUUGUACUCACCUGAAAUUACGGCAGGGAGUUGUUUAAAGAGUGAUACAGAAUGGAAAAUCUUUAUAGUCAUUGUUUAUACAGGCUUUGCUUUAACCACUUUGCUCCAAGACGUUUUCAAGAGCAACAUCCUCCUUUCAGUACCACUCAUUUCUUUCUUUUUUUUCCCCCCCUCCUUUUCUUUCUAAAGGUGCAGGGCAGCAUCCUGCACUCUUUGCAUAAGCACAAGCCCUGCUGACGUCAAUGGGAGUUUUUCCGGGGCGAGGGCUGAGCGCCUUGGCUCGCUGCUGUAAACACAUUGGGACUUUCUCUUUUAAUGGAUGGUAUUUAGAUUCUGUGUGGGGCUUGUUUAACAGGCACGUUUUCCAGAGUCCUCAAACAUCGUGGGGCACACAAGACAAAUUGUCUUUUUGUCAAAGCAGCAUGAGGGCAGAAGAGAAGCACUGAGCUAUCACAGGCAGUUUUUGCCUUCCACUCACUGCUCCCUGAUCCCCACCUCCCUUUUCCUGGGAGAUCAAUAACAGCAAAAGUCAGAGGGUGUCAUGGGGCAGGAUUUCAAACAAGCAGAAGUGGAAUUAAUAAGAAUAACAUUCUCCAGAGAUAUUAAUAUUUUUUUGCCUGUAAGUGUCAGAGCUGAAGUACAGUUGUCUGCUCCCUUGGAGAGAAGAAGGGUUAGCACCCACAGCCCUUGCCUGUCACUGGGCUUAUUGCUGCCAACCACCCCAAUGACAUGGGUAGGGUAUAGAGUCCUUGGUGUGUGCAUGUCUGUUUACACUACAAACAAAGCCAAAACCACACAUUGUCUUCAAUCUGAGCCAUCUUUCCAUCAAUAUCUUAUUUCUUGCCCAAAUAAAUGACUGAUAUUGCAGUGGCUGGUAAGAUGGGCUCCUCUUCUCCCAGUUAUUUUCUGUAUCCUCCCCAACAAUAUUCACCGCCACCCUGGCAGGUAUUAACAUUUUGCAAUCAACUCUGCCUGAUAUACUAAGAAAUGGGAAAUCCAGGAUAUUUUGUUCCUCAAUUCUGGAUGUUCCCCUCUUUGUGUCCUCCAUCUAGGAUGGACAAAUGAGUCUUCUCCUAAUGACACAGCCCCAGAGCACACACAGUCCUCAAACAUCCCCAGACCAACAGCAUGGCAGCCACUGGGUCUGCAGGUUAAUAUAUGUAUAAGUGCAUUUCUUUUUUUUUCCAUGUCCUUCUCUAAACUUAAAAAUCUCUAACACUGCUUUUAAACAAAGCAGCAAUUACAUACUUUGCCUCGACAACCUCUCCUUUUUUAUUAGGGGACACCCUCCCCCCUCCUCAAAAAAUGCUGCCAUAAAAACAAUAGGCAAGGCCAUAAUUUAAAGAGAGAAAAAUGUGAUUAUAUAACACAUCCUGCAGUAAUCAAUUUUACCUCCAAUAUCUGCUUUUGUUUUCAAAAUGCUAAAUAAACAAUACAUAAUGCAUCCCUCAUCAGCCAAAACCAUGAGGGCUCUGUGCUCAAAUAACAGGAAACAUAUUCAAUUUUCCUAACAGAAGACAGUUCAUUAAGCUGUGCCACAUCAAAUAAAACUUUAAUUUCUCCAGCAUCAGAGUCGCAAUGAAAGCAAUUGAGGAAGAUGAGCCAUAUGGUACUUCUAUCAGCAAACACAUAUUGCUCAUUCCCCCAAAGUUUUCUAAUUCUGCUCCCCAGACCUGUGUAAUAUAGAUAAUGUGCUCUGAGCGCAGCAACCAUGAGCUAUCUGGUGUACACUUCUAAUACUGUAUUUAAUGGGAAAUAAUGAAUCAUAAAAGCCUGCAGAAGACGGCUUUUGCUAACCUAAAUCUCAGCUGUAAUUUCAUUGUUCUGUGCCUAAGAUGCUGUUUGCCCUUUUCAAACAGCAGCAGUUGAACAUAAUUAUGCUGCUACAAACCUGGGCUGCAAAAAAGAAAGCCUUCCUAAUAGAACCAAGUUUUUAUUAACUCUUGAAAUCCUGAGCUUGGGGCAAUUGCAAGCAGACAGCUGCCUGUCAGGUUUUAGGGUUCAUUAAAGCACACGUACACGUAUAUCUUGAUUUCCAGUGCGCAGCCCCACAAAUUAAAUUGAUGAUUCCCACAUCGGGCCAAAAAUGCAACAGGAGAAGGCUGUGAAAAAUUAGGAAAUCUUCUUGACAUCGGGAAAUCCGACACUUGUCUGCUCUAACAUCUGUAAGUGCCAAAGAAAGAGGGGGAUUUUUUUCCUUAAAGAAAGGCAGGUUUGCCUAUCUCCAAGGGACGGACGGUCGGGGCUGUUUUCUGAAGAAGCCUAUAGGUAAAGAGGCAUCCAUAUGUUCACACAGGAGGAUUCAUAAAGGCAAGGACGAGAAGAUAAAGGUAUUAUUCUGACAUGAUGACCCCUGGAAAAUGUCUUUGACUCAUCCCAAGUUGUUGCCACUUUUGCUGCCUUUGCCUCUGAGAAGUUGAGUAAAUCCUCUGGCCCCUUUCAAAUAUUUUCUCAUCUGCACUGAAUUUCUACUAACAAACCAACUGAUAGAUACAGACCUAAGAAAUAUUAUUGUCAUUGAGUAAGGCUUCAUUUUUUUUUUUUUUACUUAAUCUGAGGCAAUUAGUUCCUGAAUAAACACAGACUAAGUAAUCUACCUCCUCAAAAGAUAAUUAGACUUGAAAAGCACUGUUUGGUCCUACCCAAGAAAAGCACAACUUGAUUAAAAUGUUUUGGAGAUUUGCUUUCAUUUCUUCCCUUUUGCCCUAUAACAUCCCAAUAACUUUUCUUUUCUCCCCAUGCCAAAGCUGGGGUCUCUGUUGGUUGUUGCUGUCCUUUUCCCCCACCUUUCCUAAAUCUUUAACCCUGCUUCUCAUUUUUCUUUGCCCCUAAUCUAAUCACUAAUUCCUUGGCUUGGCCAAAUAGUUAAAAAUGUUAAGUGCUGCUCACAAUUCCUGCUGCCUCCCCCACGUAUCUGUCUCUGUUUAUGGAACAGGCCCUGGUUUCCUCCUGCUCUUGUUCAGCUGUAGGUCUGCAGGUCAGGAGACUGUAAAUACACACAGUGCUGCCCCAACCCAUAAAUCUGAGCAAAGGGCAGCCUUAUAUAUUCAGAUAAGGGAUGUAAGGGGAAGGCAAGAGAGGGGGUGGGGAGGAGGGGGCAGUGCAGGAAUCAAAAAAAAUGUAAGAAGAGAACCAGGAGAUUCUGUGGUGAAUGAGGUUCUUUGCCAGACCCCGAAUCCAAGCUGCAUGCCCGGCUACCUUGCAGGAUGUUCCAGCCAGAGAUAAAUCUGAAAUAUUCACCCUUCUUCCCACCCUGCCUUGUUUAUAUAUAAAUCAUUACAAAAAGCAUUUUAUUACCUUUGGGACAAAGAAAUUAAGCACGAGAUUUCAAUGGCUUUUUCUCCUCCACAUCUUUGUUGGUCUAUUCCCCGUCCUUCUCUCCCUGCCCCCCCCAUUUUAUUUCCUGCACCUCUGAAGCUUUCAAGGGAACAGUCCCCCUGUUAUUGCUUCUCAGUUCCAAGGUCUUAGAAUAAAUAACAUUGUUAUUACUCACUUCACCAAUUUCCAAGAAGAAAUAUUGCUGCAGCAAAUGCAAGCAGCACUAAUAUUUGCAAAGUGAUAAAUGGAUUGUUACAUACCUUCCCGUCUGUGUGGCCUCCAGCCAUCCUCCGGCCGGCUACAUCCCUCCUCGGGGUGGGAGGGAGGCUGCCUUUGAACUUAGCAGGGUCCAGACACUUAGUGCCUUGCACCAGAGCCUGCCCCAAGCCCCCUCCCUCACUCUCUGAUGGAGAGAUAAUUUUUAAUGGACCAUGCCAGAGAUGGUACCGGGACUGGGGGAGAGCAGGAGCCACGUACCAGCACCAAGCAACCAUGUGAAGAUGCUUUUGGCAUGCAAUCAGUGUCUGGUGGGUUUUGUUAGUGUUGGGUGCUGCAGGGAGAGGGGUGAUAGACCUGGGAUGUCCCCAGGAGACAGCUGCUGCUCCACUGCCCUCCCCAGCUCCUGCACACAGCUGCUCUGGUGUGGUACCACAUCCCAGGUGCCACAAUGACAGCCACCUGCUCUUCUCCAGCUUCCAGUGAUGUGAAAAGUACACAGAAAAAGUCUGAAGAGGAGAAAAAUUGUUUUUCAAGUUCCCCCCACUCUCCCUCCAAAAUGUUUCCAGUGCCUGAAUGGGAAGUGCAGUGGAUACCUGAGAUAUCAGGGAUACAGAUGCUCAGUGGGGUGAAAACUGGAAAGACAUAUUUCCAAACACCACCAUCCUGCUUGCUCAUAAAAUUUCACUAAUUUGCAUGAAGUUUUCAGCAAACUUUCUUAACCAAAGCUGAAGUUAGGGAGGUGAUAAAGUAGGGAGCAGUCUCCUGGCCUCCCCAUUCCAAACCUAGCUACUCACCAUGUAACUUCUGAGCUUAAAAAUAGAUAGCAAUUGGAAAAUUCAUAUGGAAUAAUUAAAAACCAAUAAAAUUUUGGAUUUCUCUUUUUAAGCAGCAAUUUAUAUCUAGCUCUGAGACAUGAUUUGGGCUCCUUGAUUUUAUUAAAAAAAAAUCUCCAAAUCAAAUUAUUCCUGGGCUGCAAGUCAUGCUGAAAAAAGCUCCACUCUGAAUUUGCAGUAAUUAGAAACAAACCAGCACAUUUUCCUUCAGACCCACAAAGAGUAAGUUACUGACAUUUCUUGGACUGAGUCUGUUGCAUUUCCAUGCCGUGGCUCUCAGGAUAGGGCCUGGGAGGGUUUGGUUGGACGACUUGAAUUUCUUGAUGUGAUAAACACCCCCACAUUAGGUCAUUCAGGCACCAAAGGUGAUGUAAAAGCCUGUUCUUCACAGGCAGAGCAAAACGAAGCUGCUCCAGAAGCAUCAUCCCCAGUCCACUACUGCUGGUGUGGCACUGCCCCUGUGGCGGGGGCACCACCAGGAGAAGGGGUGAGAGCACCUUUCCUCACGUGCCCUUCCUGCACAGCCCCUUCCCUUCUGGAGAGGUUGUCAGAAGGCUGAGGAGAUGCCCACUGGUGUGUGCAGGUCUCCUGAGGAGGUUAAACCCAGCAGCACAAGCAUCUACGUGGUGCCAGCUUGAGUUGUGAGGAGGUGAAGAGUGAGUGCGAAGGUUUCAGCUACCUGGGGUGGAGGUGUUGGCACGGUCUGGCAGUGCUAGCAUGUGAAUACUGUGCCCACAGGGAUGGGGAAGGUGGGAGGUUGAAAGACUUGAGCUACUUAUUAGGUUGCUUUUUCCUAAGGGAUACCACGAUCCAUAAAAGGAUGAGCAGAAUUCAAGGAUUGCAGGAAGAAAAUUAUUCAGAAACUGUUAGCAGAGGUAUGAAAGGGUCAAUUAGAAAAGAGGACAGAAAUAUAUCUGACAUGUUUUCUUCCUGACCAAGGUAAAUUCCAUCUCCUUUUUUUUUUUUUUUUUUUUUUUUUUUUGUAAGACGAGAAAUAUUAAAAGGAAGGUCACAAGUUAGAGGAAAGACUAGAAAUUCCUUUGGGAUGAGCUCUUAUGCAAAAUAGAUACAGUUCACUAGUAACAAAGACCAGAUAGUCUUUACUGUUUUUUAAAAAAGAAUUAAUAGAAUCAUGGAAUUAAAGAUUCAUUAAGGUUGGUAAAGACCUCCAAGACCAUCUAGUCCAACCUUUACACAAAUUACCCAUAAUACUCUCUCAUAGACAUACCUGUGUGUAUGUUUAUGCAGCUGUGAAUAGGCAUGUGAUUGUGCACAUAUAUGUAGGCAUGCGUACAUACCUAUAACAAAAACUCAGUGUGCAUCAAAUGAAAAAUAAAAUGACCUGCAAAAUUAUUUAAGGGAAAAAAUUAUGAAAGUGGUUGAGAUCUGGGGCAGCAGUAUGGUGAGGAGCUAUCCCACUGCUUGGAAAUACCCAGAAACCUUCUUAAACAUUUAUCAGCACCUUUCCUUACUUUAGGAGAAGGGCUGGGAGUGCCCCAAAAGCAUGAUUCUUCAGGAUAUUCCUGUCAGACAGGAAACCUUGUGAGAGCAGCAUUGCUUGUUCUCUAUUCUGCUUCCAGCCCCAGAAAGCACACAGAUAAGAAGAAAAAUCAAAAUAAUUGAAUAUAUACAAGACAUCCACAUUUGUAUAAACAACAAGCUUUGAAAAGGGAAAAAGAAUCAGGUCUUAAUUUUUUAUGAUUUCUUUUUCUCAAACUAAAAAAAAAAAAGAAGGAAAAGUCAGGCAGUUCUUAUUUUAUCCAGACCAGUUCAUAAAUCCCAAGUCAUAAAUCCACAUGAUAUCCCGGGCUGCUGGAUUUUGCAUUUGGAGCUCUGAAAGACUGAUAGCUGAAAGAUUUAUAAAAUCCCAGGUAGCCAGAGUGCUCCCUAUUGGCUCCACAUCUGAGAGGUCCCUGCAUCCUGCUUAGCCCAGAAAGCUGGAUGUAUGGGAUAUAUUGUGUUCAAGAAGCAGCACACCCCUACCCUACUAUUUUCAGAUGUGACUAAAAAUUUGAAAGCUAAAAAUUUGAUCAUGUGAGGUGGAUGGGCCCUGUUUAGGGACUUUUCUGCACAGACGUGGGGACAGCCACUAACUGGGGCUGCCCAAAAACUGCUGCCACCUUUUGCAAAAUUACGCCAUGGUUUGUGUCAUAGAUGUAUGAUUUACCUUGUGUGGUAGACCUGAACAUAAACAGCAGAAUUGUUUCAGCUGCUUUGAAUAUAAGCUUGAUUUUGUUUCUUGUAAUAUCCUUGAGUAGGAGUGACUGCUCAGUAAGAACAACGGAUCAUCACUAGGCCAGAAGAUGAUGGUUCUUAGAGGUGAACAUGACCAGACCCUCAACAAAAAAAUGGUACCUGAGUAAAAGUACAAGUUGCAAACAAUUCAGCUGUCAAAUCAGCCAGCUCACAUUUCCCAAAGAGCGCUGUGAGGUUUUUCUCAUCAGUUCAGUGGAUGUUACAUGUGACCAUGUGUAUUGGGGUGAAGGCUCCCCAAAACAGACACUCUCAAGACUGAUUUGUGCUAUUUGUCUGUAUACACAGGAUACUGAAAAAGUGCUUAAGCCUUCCCUCUCUUACUUUUCUCUAUCCUUCCUCAAUGACCUUAUUCGAACCUAAUACUUUUCUCCAGACUUGUAAUGACAGACAUUUUUAAUAAGCUUCUGUUGAAUUAAUAAAAAGAUUUUAAAAAAUCCCUCUUCUGCAGUUACAAGAUUUGUUUUAUAGCUGUAACUAACAUCGUUGUUACUGAGAAAUUAAAUGAUUUGCUUUAUGUUUCAUAUAUUUUUAUU